CAGUUCGGAUUGUAGUCUGCAACUCGACUACAUGAAGCUGGAAUCGCUAGUAAUCGCGGAUCAGAAUGCCGCGGUGAAUACGUUCCCGGGUCUUGUACACACCGCCCGUCACACCAUGGGAGUCGGAAAUGCCCGAAGCCAGUGACCCAACUGAAAGGAGGGAGCUGUCGAAGGCAGGUCUGAUAACUGGGGUGAAGUCGUAACAAGGUAGC
rnacentral:rRNA from 1 species